AUACGUAGGGGGCAAGCGUUAUCCGGAUUUACUGGGUGUAAAGGGAGCGUAGGCGGCGAAGCAAGUCAGAUGUGAAAAUCCAGUGCCCAACAUUGGACGUGCAUUUGAAACUGUUUAGCUAGAGUACCGGAGAGGUAAGAGGAAUUCCUAGUGUAGCGGUGAAAUGCGUAGAUAUUAGGAGGAACACCAGUGGCGAAGGCGGCUUACUGGACUGUAACGGACGUUGAGGCUCGAAAGCGUGGGGAGCAAACAGGAUUAGAUACCCUGGUAGUCCCCGCCGUAAACGAUGAAUACUAGGUGUCGGGUUUCUAUAGAGAGUCGGUGCCGCAGCAAACGCAAUAAGUAUUCCACCUGGGGAGUACGUUCGCAAGAAUGAAACUUAAAGGAAUUGACGGGG
rnacentral:rRNA from 1 species